GAUGAAGAACGUAGCGAAAUGCGAUACGUAAUGUGAAUUGCAGAAUUCAGUGAAUCAUCGAAUCUUUGAACGCAUAUUGCGCUCUCUGGUAUUCCGGAGAGCAUGCUUGUUUGAGUAUCAGUAAACACCUCAACUUCCAUAUCUUUUUUGAAAUGGGAGUUGGACUUGAGUGAUCCCAACGCUUUUCCUCACCGAAAAGUGGCGGGUUACUUGAAAUGCAGGUGCAGCUGGACUUUUCUCUGAGCUAUAAGCAUAUCUAUUUAGUCUGCCUAAAAAACAGAUUAUUACCUUUGCUGCAGCUAACAUAAAGGAGAUUAGUUCUUGUGCUGACUGAUGCAGGAUUCACAAAGACAGGCUUCGGCCGACUUUGUAAACUCGAUAUCAAAUCAAGUAAGACUACCCGCUGAACUUAAGCAUAUCAAUAAGCGGGGA
rnacentral:misc_RNA from 1 species